GGGGGGGGGGGGCGGGGUGCUGAGGGGGGGCGGGGCGGACGGGGCGGCCCUGCUUGUGUGGGGUGCUCGAGUGGCGAACGGGUGAGUAACACGUGAGUAACCUGCCCUUGACUUUGGGAUAACUUAAGGAAACUGGGGCUUAUACCGGCUAGGAGCUCCUGCUGCAUGGUGGGGGUUGGAAAGUUUCGGCGGUUGGGGAUGGACCCGCGGCUUCUCAGGCUCUUGGUGUGGUAGUGGCUUACCAAUGCUUUGACGGAGAGCCUGCCUGAGAGGGUGACGGGCCACAUUGGGACUGAGAUACGGCCCAGACGCAUACGGGAGGCAGCAGGGGGGAAUAUUGCACAAUGAGCGGAAGCCUGAUGCAGCAACGCCGCGUGCGGGAUGACGGCCUUCGGGUGGUAAACCACUUUCGCCUGUGACGAAGCGUGAGUGACGGUAAUGUGUAAAGAAGCACCGGCUAACUACGUG
rnacentral:rRNA from 1 species